ensembl:snoRNA
UUAUCUGCUGCCAAAGUUUCCACUACAGAUGCAAGAACAAGUCCUUAUGCUUUCUAUUUGUCUAAUUGUGGCAGUCCAGAUUGAAUGGGAGAAAACAGGA